GUGUGUGUGUGUAUGUAAAAAGUAUUCGGGAUCAAGGAGGGCCCGGUGCAGUGAGACAGGCACCCAACCUUCCCCAGAUACUCCAGGCCUCCAGCUGCCAUGCUCCAGUGCAGACAGACAAUUGGAUGGGGGUGAUGGCACUUAAAGAAGGAGGCGGAUUCCGGCUUGCGCCCAGGUGGGGGUCUCUGCCAAGCUCAACCAAAGGCAAAUCAUCUCAGCAGAGUGACUAAGUCAACCAGAGAGAAGAGCGCCAACCUUCCCCUCCCCAGCACACAGGGCUGGGGAGCCCCCACUGCUGGUUCUCAGACUGGUACCUCCCCCCGCCCCAUCUCAGCAAGUAAAGAUCCUCCUUGACCUAAAAGUAUAAGGGAAUGCAUGCUAAAUGUUCCCCGGAUACAAGAAUGACUAUCCAGAGUGAAGAGCCGCUGUCCCUGGGCAGGGAAGGACAGAUUCCUGCUGGCAGCAAAUCCCAGUCUCUGGUUGUGACAUCCCAAUAUGCUGUGGUCUGACAGCUGUCAACUGGAGACAGACCUAAUUUCCCCAGGGACUAUACCUGCCCAGGGAGCUGGCUUACUCCAACCAUCCUGGCUCUGGGGAUGAAUGCCACCAAUCGCUCUGACUGGAGGAACGUGCAAAGGCCACUGGAGGAUUCACUUUUGUGUGCUCAGCCUUGGAUAGCCACAAGGAGGCGACCAUGGAACCAAGGUUUCCAGCCACCUGCAAGCCCCUCAGUCUUUUCUCAGAAAAGCACGGUGGCGGUGGCAGAAGAUGGCACGGCUGUCACCAGCUGUCCCCGUACAACAGGUUGGUAAUCACAACUACUUGGAAGACUGAGUCAGGAGGCCUGCCUGUCUCAGAAUUAAAAAGUAAGAAGUUGGCUAUAACUCCAUGGGAGAGUCCCUGCCUAGCAUGUGUGAGAUCCCCAGGAAAUAAGACAAAUUAACAGAACUACUUAUUUCUCCGUGUUGCUUGGAAGCAGGAGCAAAGACGGAGUUGAAGGCUCAGGGUUGUCCUGAAAACUGCUGACCCUGAGUUGAGCCCUAAAGGAUGCCAAGUGGUUGGUCAGGAAGGUAGGGCCUGCAGUUUCUAAGCAGCCACAGGAGACAUCUGUCCUGACCUCUCAGUCCAGUUCUUCAUGGUAGCUCAGAGGUAUCCAGACCUAGCCAGAAGCCAGUAGAGGGCACUGUGAUCUUUUCUAAUCACAGCCUGGCAGCUGCAGACUAUGAAGUUAAAGGGAGUCCAUGCUCCUGGGGGAAGGAGAGCCCUAUUCUCCUGACCCAGAGCUGGAAAGCUGAACAUGGAAGGCCAGGGGAAGGACACAGCUCUUGGGGUCAGUGAGACCCAGAGGCAGGAUUAUGGGGCUAGUGUAGCAGAGAAUGAGGUUCAAUGAUGAAACAGCAUUGGCUAUAAAGACAAAGACAGAGCCCAGUCACCUCUUCCCACAGCAGCCCCAAACAGACUGCAGUACUGUUCCUGUGCCAUCUCCACCCCAUUCCCUGGAGAAAGAGGCUACACAGGGAACAAGUUAAGCCCGCAGGCCACCUCGGGGCUGCAGUACAUCUCCAGUAUUUCAGCAGCUGGAGAGGAUCUUGAUCAUUAGAAGCAUGGCAACACCAAGAUGCCCAAGGCUGGGCACAGAAAAAAUGCUCGGGUGCUAACCAAAGUCUUCAGAUGCUAAGGCGAUGGCCACAGAAUGCUUGCCAUGACAGUAAGCAAUUUAGGGUAAUUCUCCCGUCCCCCUUGAUUCACAGAUGGAUGGAGCCUAUGGGGAAUAGAUGGGGUCUUGGUCUCAUCGCCCAGCCAGAUGGGCUGGUGUCCUCCCCUCCGAGGUUAGGCAAGGUCAGAAUUUGGCUCUGGGCUCAGAAUUCAGCCAUGUGGUAGCCAGAUGGUUCUAGGUAGGCACACAGUGGCUUCUUGGUCACUGUUCUACUGCUAUGAAGAAACACCAGGACCAAGGUAACUCUUACAAUAAAUAGGAUUUAACUGGGGUUUGCUUAAAGUCUCAGAGGUUUAGUCCACUGUGAUCAUGGUGGGAACACAGGAGCAGGCAGGCUGGAGAAGGUAGCCAAGAGCUACAUCCCGAUCUGCAAGGAGAGAGAGAGAGAGAGAGAGAGAGAGAGAGAGAGAGAGAGAGAGAGAGAGAGAAAGAGAGAGAGAGAGAGAGAGAGAGAGAGAGAGAGAGAGAGACCGGGCCUGGCAUGUAUGGGCAUUCAACUAUGUGAGCCUAACAGGCCACUCUUAUUCAAACCAGUACAAUGGCUCUUGGGUAGCUUAAUAACAACUCAGACUCUCGGUGUGCCUACUCUAUGUCUCAGACUCCAUAGGUUGGGUGCUAAUGAUUGCUCCUGGUGUCAGACGGGUCUAGCUUUUGGGAGGGUGCUGAUUCUCACAUGGUGGCCCCUGUUGAAUGAGCAAGGGUAGGAUGGUUUGUUCUAACUGAUCUUAAUCCUGGACCAACCUGGGUAGACUUCCAUGUUGAUGGGCAGACAGAUGGCCCCAAGCUCAGAGUGUCUCACGGGUGUGGGCUGAAAAGGACACACGGUGGCUCAGAGUCUGUCCUCAAAAGAUGCAGGGGACAGGAACCAUUUGGGUACCUGCACCCCCAUCCCAUCAGACUCACAACCAUCUCCUUAGCACAACCUUCAAGGAAGAUGUGUUUACAGAGCCACAGAAAGCUGCAGAGGUCCAAGACAACAGUCUGCUUCCACCACAGGGCUGCUUAGCCUCUGAGGCCAAGGUCACACGUGAGCUAGGGACACAACACAUCAGGCUGCAGGACAUGCCUAGCAUGUGGUGUGAGUCACAGCAGACAUUUGUGUCUGCUUAGUCAAGGACAUUUGAUCUUUCUGGCUGGCUUGAGUUUGGUCUUUGAACUCAGCAGGAAGAACCUGGGGCUCGGCAGAGACACAUGGAGACAGGUGGUCCAGGCCACUUCUGGGCUGGUCAUUCAUGGCAUACCUGGCCUAAGGGAUGAAUCCCAAGUGUAACUUGAACCCUAGAUCUCUAGAAAUCUCCUUGGCCAUGAGUCAGUCAAUCUCUCUGUCUCUCUGUCUCUCUGUCUCUCAUUCUCUCCCCCCGCCCCGUGUCUUUCUCUUUCUCUGUCAUUUCAAUCUCUGCCUCCCUGUCUCUCUGUUUCUGCCUCUGUAUUUCUCUAUGUGUCUCUCUGUGUGUCUGUCUCUCUCUCACAUGUAUACACGUGAGCAUGUGGCACACACACACACACACACACACACACACACACUGAGGUCUUUUUCUCUGUGCCCACCCUACCAUUCCAGAUGGACAUCAGGUUAGUAGGUUGGCCCCCUCCCACUUUGCUCCACUUUCUCUGCAGGCAAACACUCCCUGAUUCCAGCUCUGGGGGACUCCUUGUAGGAAAAACGGGACGACUCUGAAGGGUGAGACUUCUCCGAGCCCUUCCAGCUGGUAUACAUUGCACACAGUGGAACAUACAUUUCUGAGCACGGUUCUGUGCCAGGCUCUCCUGAAUUAUGCCCACAGUCAAUCAGACCAUCAGUGGUCAUUACUCGAAGAGACAGGCUAUUAGCGUCUCUGGCUCAUGUCAAUUUAAAUACCUGAAAGGGUCUGUUCAUUCGGAUUUGUAUCAUAACCUUGAGAGCAGCACUUGAGCACCAAAGUCUGGGGUGAGUCAUUUCUCCCUGAAUGAUUAACAAAAGGUUUAAAGCUAUUUUGAUCCAAAAGACCAAACAUUUUAGGAAUCUUUUUAAUGUCAUGUGACAGAAACAGUCUCAGGCUGUGGUGAAGAAAGGGGAGAUCUUUAUUGGCUGUUAAAAACCAAGAAGUGCAAAGAGGAGGAGAUUGCAGGUAUGUCUGGCUCCAGAAUCCAGUGUCCCCAGGGCCAGUCUACUGCCUGACUCCUCCCAGCGUCAGUCCUCCAUGGGCAUACUGGGAGCACCACAAUUCUAUUCCUGCCUCACCUCAGAUUUUAGGUUCAGGGAAUAAAUGAGACUUUCUUUCCCAGGAGUCUAAGGGAAAAGCUUCCUCUUAGUUCAACCAGACUAAGCUGCAAUGCCUAGAUCUCAAAAUUAUGUCCCUGUCCCUCUGGCUGGAACUAAAAAACCCAUGUUUUACAGCCAAGGGGGACGCCAUGAGGGUGUUCUUGUUUCUUCUUCAAGCAGCUGUCCAAGGAGGGCUAUGCUGUUCCUUAUCUGUGUGGUUCGACUGUCCUGGGGCAGGGGCAUGCAUACUCUCUGUGGAGGGCUACAUUUAGGGUUAUGCAGGGUCUCCUCCUCUCUCUCCUUCAACACCCUUUAAAAAGCAUUCUUAGUCUGUAGAUGAGGCAAACAGCUCCACAGACUUAGCUUACUGCCCCUGCCUUGGGGUUUUGAUGUUGUAUACAUGGAGUCAGGGGCAGAGAGAAGGAAAACGGGUCCCUCACCCACUCCUUGCAACCUUAGCCUUGAUGUGGUUGGUAUACAGUACACCCACCCCUCCUGAUCCUUGAAGUAGGCUUCAGACCCAAGGUCUCCUGACUCCAGCCUGGGAAGGAAAGGUGACACAUUCUAAACGUUCUGUACGAACAGCUUAACUCAGAUCCGGGCUCCUCUGUAGUCACCAAAUUCCCCAAGAGGAAAAGCAGACAGGGCUCAGAGCAUCAGCAGCCUGGCCUUCCGGGCAUUUGAGCGGUCUAAGAUUUGCUGUUUCCGGAGCAGUUCCGUGAGGAUGCCGACUUUUCCCAGGUCACCUUCUGAGCGAGUUUUCCUGCUCUCAGCUCUCAGGAGUCCCGGCGUUGGUCUCACCACAGGAACAUUUUUGGAAUGGAGGAAGAAAGUGACUGGCAUUUGUUGGUGCUGGCAAACAGAACAGAAGAGGCUCUGCCCAUUCGCGGCUGAGAGAGUGGGCCGGCCGUAGGCAAUGUGACUGUUAGCACCGCAGUGAAGCUAAGGAGCCUGGCUGGGCGGGGCCGCAGAAUGGCCACACCUCUUAUUUGUGUCUAGUAUGAUUUAGUGACCAUCUCCUCAACCCCGGGCAGACGCCAGCCAGCAUCCGCUCACCGCAGCCACCUGUUUCUAUCCUGUGCAGCAGUGGACAAGAGACAACAAAGCUGAGACCUGUAAAAGAACAUUCUUAGCUUUGUGAGGAGGAAGUUGGAUUUGUCCCGGCGUGUGGCAGACAGGACAGUAUUCAUCUGGUGGAUCCCCUGGCACAUGGACAAGUCUGGUGAGGGUCAUCACCUUGAAGAGACUGGUCUCUCUUACUGACAUGUAACAACAGAACAAGCAGCUUGUGCUCUGUACGGUCUGAGGUCCUUUGUACCCCACAGUCUAAAGUUCUCUGUACCCCACAGUCUAAUGUCCUCUGCACCCACAGUCCAAUGUCCACCUGUACCCCAAAGUCUAUGCAACCUUUUCCAUCUCACCGACUGAUUCAACAAACACUGAGAGCAAGCGCCGGGCUCGUCAUGAGUGUGGUAAACUUGAUCCUGUUCUUGGUUCCCCUCCAGAUUGUACCCUGUAGGUAUGGGGAGAUGGCUCAGUGGGCCAAGUGCUUGCUGCGUAAACAGAGGUGCUGAGCUUGGGUCCUCCACAUCCACACAAAGAGCUCACUGUGGAGGUUUCUGGGUUGCUUUCUUUGUCCCAUAAAAAAAGAGACCAGAUAAGAUGGCUCCACAAGUCCUUUCUACUGUGAGCCUUUCAGAAUGAUCCAUCAGGGACCUCCUCCAUUGUAAAGCUAAUACGGACAUGGGACAAUUUCUACCUUGCAUGAGUCAUGCUGACUUCUGGAUAUACCACGAUAGUGGCAUGAGAGUUCAUUUUAUGUCAGUUUCAGCCAGGACUGCUGUGUCGCCCACUGUAUAAAUAUCCCAUAUGUAACUCCAGCGCUGUGCGUACCCCUGGAGUUUUGUGUCUCUCAUACCCUCCACAGCUGGUAAUGCACACCUUCCCACGUCUUCACUUCCUGUGCCUCAGUUUCCCUUUAUACAUCCAGAAAACCAAGCUCCAAAGCAGACAUGGGCAGAUCCUAUGACUCCCCAUGGGUUGUGGACUCAGAAAAUUGAAGAGUUCAGCCCUCAGCUCAAGUUGGCAGGACCAGAGCCCUAAAUCAGGACAGAUGCAGCCCGGCCAAUCGACUGAGCAUGAGGCUCUGGACCGAGAUUGAAAUAUACACAACUCACCCAGCACACACCCUGCUACCACCCGAGCUCCUGCUUUACAUCACCAGGGAUGUCUGCAUCCUGGAGCUAAGUCCAGGAUGUAACUGAGGACUCCUCUUGCCUCACGGAGACCUACACUGUAAAUCAGGUGCCUGUAGAUGAGAGGAGGGGAGGAGGCCCGUGAGAGGCUGGAUCCUUCCAUCAGCACCCAGAUGGUGGGCUCACUGGUCUCUCACAGAGAUAGGGCUGCAGAUCUGUCCACGUGCUCAGUGGUCCUCACCCACCUGAGCCCUCCUCACCCACCUGAGCCCUCCUCACACUGCAUGAGGGUGAGUUGUACACCCAGGGAUGCUGGCUCUGCCUCAAGGAGUUCCCACUUGCUUCCCUACCUACCCUAUUAGCUUCCUAUACUCCCUAGAAAGAGGAUCUCUGUGAUGGGCAUUCAAGGAAACCCUGGCCUUUGUCUCUCAGGGCUCUCACAUGGGAGACCUGGUUGGGGUUUCAUCUCUGGCUUCUUUCUCUUUGGGACAGCACCCCCAACUGCUGCUUGCUGUCUUUUGAGCCUCUCAGGUUGGUGGCCAUUCCUGCUUCUGUCCCAAGAGCUGUCAUCUGCCUGUAUCCUAAAACCUGGAUACAGGACACUGUGGCAUUCCCCUCUGUAAAUGCAGUAAAUGCUCCAGGAUGUGGACUGUGUCCGUGUUAGGAACCCUACCGAUCCAUGUCCCAGGAAAGAAUAGUCCACUGCCACAAAGGAUGGACAAACUGGACCGGUAAGUAGUGCACCAUGCUUCCUGUCAUUUUCAAUCCUUUCUAGAUUUUUCUUUUGUGUGUGAAUGGGGGAGUCCCAUGUGUGUAGUUGUUUGUACACGCACGUAUGUACACUUGAAAAUGGAGGCUGGGUAUCCUCCUCAGUCACUCUCCUACCUUAGUCUUUGAGGCAAGGUCUCUCAAACAAACCCAGAGUUCACUGAUAUGAAUAGUCUUGCUAGCCAGU